AUUGAACGCUGGCGGCAUGCCUUACACAUGCAAGUCGAACGGUAACAGGUCUUCGGAUGCUGACGAGUGGCGAACGGGUGAGUAAUACAUCGGAACGUGCCUAGUAGUGGGGGGUAACUACUCGAAAGAGUGGCUAAUACCGCAUCAGAUCUACGGAUGAAAGCAGGGGAUCGCAAGACCUUGCGCUACUAGAGCGGCCGAAGGCAGAUUAGGUAGUUGGUGGGAGAAAAGCUUACCAAGCCGACGAUCUGUAGCUGGUCUGAGAGGACGAUCAGCCACACUGGGACUGAGACACGGCCCAGACUCCUACGGGAGGCAGCAGUGGGGAAUUUUGGACAAUGGGCGCAAGCCUGAUCCAGCAAUGCCGCGUGCAGGAUGAAGGCCUUCGGGUUGUAAACUGCUUUUGUACGGAACGAAAAGCCCUGGGUUAAUACCCUGGGGUCAUGACGGUACCGUAAGAAUAAGCACCGGCUAACUACGUGCCAGCCGCCGCGGUAAAAC
rnacentral:rRNA from 1 species